rnacentral:lncRNA from 1 species
CGAUAAGUCUCAAAAAAUUCAACACAAAACUAUUGAUAUUAUAGCAUUUAUCCAUAACCCAAAAAUUUUCUAAGGUCAAUGUCUUCAUCAUUUUCUUCCUCUCUUUCUUCAUUUUGGGCACCUAUAAAAAGAGAACAAAUAAUAUAAAUUAGAACUUAAAUAACAACAUAAAAAGGACUAUUCCACAACAAAAUACCACAUAUAAGUUAGCUAGUGAUGAGGCAAAUCAACCAAUCAUGGUUAGAAAGA